rnacentral:tRNA from 1 species
AGAAGAAUUUCAGUUUUGGGUAUUGAUAGCGGGGUAAAUGGACCUCUUCCCUGA